AGUAAGAUAUGAGCUAAACCCAGUAAAUGAAAUAUCUAGUUUUAAAUUAGAAGAAUCUUCUAAUCACUUUACUUGAUAUACACAAAGUGAAUGCAUAAUAAUCCAAUAAAUGUGAUAAAAACAUGAUUAGAUUUUAUCUUUCCCAUUUCAUUUACCACAGAAGUUGUCAACCAACAAUAUGUCCAUUCAAACUUAUGCAUGUGCACACCAUGUCUCAUACAAACAAAUAAUUUAAUUAACGUUUGGUUUUGCACACAACAAUGUAUUUUACUCAUUAAUGUUUCUUCCUUUUGAACUCUUCCAGGACAUCUUGGCUCACGAGACAUCCAAACCACUGGGGCAUCUCAACUUUGAGGUAUGCUGCAAACUUUCAUCACGAAACAUUCCCAUCAUAGGGGCAUUCUGACUCUCGAGGCAUUCUGAAACACUACUUGGGGCAUCCCAACCACUGAGACAUCCCGCAAAUUUCCACCACAGGGCAUCAUCAUGCACCAUUGUAUGAGUGAUAGAAUCACAUUAAUCUCAUUUAAGUCAUAAUAUAUGCAUACCUACAAGCAAAAUACAACAUCUCAACUCGAUUUAAUGCAUUAGCCAAAUAAUUGCAUAUGGAAUAAUAUAUAGUUAUAUUCUAGUUGUUAAAGUCUGGACAUCCAAAUGACUACAUUCUAAGUUUGGACAUUGAAUAAGUUCUGGUCAUUAAAAUUUGGUCAAUCAAAUGGAUAUACUUUGAGUCUAAAUGAAUAAGUGUAUUCUGGAUGUAAAGUCUGAACAUGCAAUUGGUACAAUUUUGAGUUAGAAUAACGAGUACAUCUUAGUUGUAAAGUUUUGAACAAUCAAGAAGGUAAUUUAUGGCUUGAUAAAAACUUAUAAAAAAGAAGAAGAACGGAUCAAAUAAUGAACAAAUUUACAAAUGGACAAGUUCAGUAGACAAGAAAUAGAUUCAUAAUCAGUAAAGUCUAUCUGAAUUAAUGGACAAAUUUAUCAGCAAACAAAUUCACAAGUUGAUAAAUAAAUUCACAAAUGAAUAGAUUCGAUCAAAUGAGUAGAUUCACAAAGGAGCAAAUUCACACAAAUUUAGUAAAAUCUAGUAUAAUAAACAAAUAGAUUCAGACAUAGUCAAUUUUGCUAAAGAGAAUGGAUAGAUUCUGUCAUAGAAAAUUCUAGCAGAAACAAGUAGAACGAACAUAUUUUGACUAGUAAGAUUCUAGCAUAAUGAACAUACAAGAGGACAUCAAGACAAAUACGAUAAAAUGAAUAGCUUAUAAUUAUUUAACAGAAUGAACCAGAAUGAACACGCAAUGGGUCAUCAAGACAAAUAUGACAGGACGAUUAGAUUCUAACCAUUUAGAACGAAACGGAAUGAAGUAGAAUGAACAUGUAAUGGGUCAUCAAGAUAAACCUAGAAUGAAGUUGAAUGAACAUGCAAUAGAUUAUCAAGAUAAAUAUGACAGAACAACCAUGGAAUAAAGCAGAGGUCAAGAUAAAUAUAGCAUAACGAGCAGAUUCUGACUAUUUAGAACAAAACAUAAUGAAGCAGAAUGAACAUGCAAUAGUUCAUCAAGAAAAAUAUGAUAGAAUGACUAGAUUUUAACUACCCAGAACAAAGUAGAACGAACCUAGACAAGAUCAUCAAGACAAGUUUAAUAAUCACCAUACCUAAAAACAUUCUUGUACAUUUCAAUCAACCUACCGAGAUAGAAGUAUUAAGUAGAUUUAAACUAGCUUAAUACUUAAAAACUUCACUUACCUUGAACAAGCGUGACCC
rnacentral:lncRNA from 1 species